rnacentral:rRNA from 1 species
GAGGUCUACCUGCAGUCGAGCGGAACGAGUUAUCUGAACCUUCGGGGAACGAUAACGGCGUCGAGCGGCGGACGGGUGAGUAAUGCCUGGGAAUAUGCCUUGAUGUGGGGGAUAACCAUUGGAAACGAUGGCUAAUACCGCAUAAUCUCUUCGGAGCAAAGAGGGGGACCUUCGGGCCUCUCGCGUCAAGAUUAGCCCAGGUGGGAUUAGCUAGUUGGUGAGGUAAUGGCUCACCAAGGCGACGAUCCCUAGCUGGUCUGAGAGGAUGAUCAGCCACACUGGAACUGAGACACGGUCCAGACUCCUACGGGAGGCAGCAGUGGGGAAUAUUGCACAAUGGGCGCAAGCCUGAUGCAGCCAUGCCGCGUGUGUGAAGAAGGCCUUCGGGUUGUAAAGCACUUUCAGCAGUGAGGAAGGUGGUGUCGUUAAUAGCGGCAUCAUUUGACGUUAGCUGCAGAAGAAGCACCGGCUAACUCCGUGCCAGCAGCCGCGGUAAUACGGAGGGUGCGAGCGUUAAUCGGAAUUACUGGGCGUAAAGCGCAUGCAGGUGGUUUGUUAAGUCAGAUGUGAAAGCCCGGGGCUCAACCUCGGAACCGCAUUUGAAACUGGCAGGCUAGAGUACUGUAGAGGGGGGUAGAAUUUCAGGUGUAGCGGUGAAAUGCGUAGAGAUCUGAAGGAAUACCGGUGGCGAAGGCGGCCCCCUGGACAGAUACUGACACUCAGAUGCGAAAGCGUGGGGAGCAAACAGGAUUAGAUACCCUGGUAGUCCACGCCGUAAACGAUGUCUACUUGGAGGUUGUGGCCUUGAGCCGUGGCUUUCGGAGCUAACGCGUUAAGUAGACCGCCUGGGGAGUACGGUCGCAAGAUUAAAACUCAAAUGAAUUGACGGGGGCCCGCACAAGCGGUGGAGCAUGUGGUUUAAUUCGAUGCAACGCGAAGAACCUUACCUACUCUUGACAUCCAGAGAACUUUCCAGAGAUGAAUUGUUGCCUUCGGGACUCUGAGACAGGUGCUGCAUGGCUGUCGUCAGCUCGUGUGUGAAUGUUGGUUUAGUCCCGCAACGAGCGCAACCCUUAUCCUGUUUGCCAGCGAGUAAUGUCGGGAACUCCAGGGAGACUGCCGUGAU